ACACGCUUCCCCACUGAGGGAAGACCAUGUGACUAUACAACAGGAAGGUAGUUGUUUACAAGCCAGGAAGAGAGCCCUCACCAGAAACCAAAUUGGCUGGCGCCUUGAUCAUGGACUCCUGGGCUCCGGAACUGUAAGAAAAUUUGUGUUGUGGAAGCCACCCAGCCCAUGGUAUUUCGUUAUGGCAGCCUGAGCAGAGGUGGUAGCUAUGUGGACAGUUUUUGGACUUCUCUAUUGUUGCCCUUCAUCACUCAGCAGUGAAGAAUGAAAAUCAACAGAGCUUUCCCCAGCCUGCUGCUUAAGCAGCUGCUAGCAGGCUGAGGCUGCCCAGCCUCAUUAACCCAUUAGAUGCUGCGUUCGCCCGGGAGUCAUUCUUAAUGAGGCUGCUGCAGAUGAGAAAACAGAAGCAAAGGCAGAAAGAUGCUACAUUGCCAGCUUUGAAGAUGGAGGGAAGAGGUCACAAACCAAGGAAGGCAAUGAGGACGUUGCACAAGACAGUCCCUGAUACCCAGAGUUUACUGCCUAAGAGAGGAUACAUCCUUCAAACCAAUAAUCUGCUAAUAGCAAGAUCCAAUAGCUUCAUGGAUAUUGAAAGAAACUGAGAAUCAAAUUUGCAUACUUCUGAGUCACUUGGAAACAAAAAACAAGUACAGUCUUAGAUUCUGAGGGAACAAAAAUUAAAAAUCACAUUAGGAAGAGAAUUCCUAAUGUAGGAACUCAUCCUGGAAGAUUCUUCAGCAAAAGUACAGACAAUAAUAAUAAUACUCCAUGAAGUUACCAUCGAUAUUGAAUGAAUUAAUGAAUGUAAAAACCUCAAAACCCUGCCUGGCCCAGAGCUUUGGAAUGGGUUUGGAUCUACCACUCAACUGCUUUAUGACUUCAGACCAGUUAUUUAAAUUCCCUGAAGCUCAGUUUCCACAUCUUUGAGUUUUUAUUAAUGACCUGCCGACAUCAUACAGUUCAUGAAAUGCUCUGGAUGUGUACAUGCUGAUGAUACGACCUCAGACCCAGCAAGAGCUCAGUGCAGCCCGGAGAGCUGUGAGCAGUGCCACAGGAGGAGAUGACUGGUGAGUGAAAUAAGCAAGAUAGGAGUUGAAGUGUACAUGAAGCAGAGUCCAAGCCUUCUCCUUCUGGAUGUUCAGCUGGAUCAUCCUGACUGCUCCCACUUUCAUCUUGGCUUUCAAAGGGCUAUAUGGAUGUGCUCUACUUGUUGGAGGAUUGUCCAUCCACUCUUCUUCCUGUACUUACCAGGACAGAACAGCCGCAACUUCUCAGACAGUUCAUUCUUCUUUUCCUCACCUACUACCAUCUAAGAAAGGUACUUGAUGACUGUGGCUUUAGACAAGAGUCCUUUUCUUACCACAGGGUGGGCAGCACCAGCUCAUUAGAACCAUUUGUGUGACUGACUGAAGACAGCUCACCUUGGAACACUGCAGGUUGAAGAUCAUCUCUUCUUUUUUUCAUGGUGUUAAGCAUAAUAUGGCGUAAGUGACAUUUUACAAGUUCCAGAGCCUGGGACUCAAGAUGUCUUGGAGAUUCUGUCUUUGCAGUCUUAUAAUGAUGCCCUGAGAUCAUCAUUAAAGAAAGCCAGUCUGGCCUACUGAGGAUGAGAAGCUACAUAAAGGAGAAUGAAGAUUCCCCAGCCAACAGGCAAUAUCAGUGGUCAGAUAUGUGAAUAAAGCCAUGUUGAACCUCUCGGCUAGACGACCCUCCAGCAUAUGAAACCAGCAGAUGAAUAUCCCAGCCUGCCUGAAGAACUGUACAGGAAAUAAGAAAUCAUUGUUUUUUAAGCCACUGGGUUGGUGGGUGGUUUGUUACAUUGAAAUUGUUAACUAAAACAGAAAUUGGUGCAUAGAGGUCAGGUGCUGUCAUAAUAAAAAUCUAAAACAUAUACUGUUGGCUUUGGUGAUGGGAGUGAUUGGUAGCUAAAGAGGCAGUGAAACAAUGAUUAGUAGAUACUGGGAAGUUAAUAAGGAAAUUUCUAUUGGAGGGUGGAGAAAGGGCCACCCUUGUUAUAUAGUGGCCAAAGAAUCAGCAAAAUGUUGCCUGCUGCAACCUGGAAAGUAGAAACUUUUCUUAAACUCACGGAUCUGGCUGGGAGAUUUCCAGGAUGCAUGCAACAAAUGUGAAUCAACUUUGUAUAGCUGUGUAUAAUAAAGUGUGCUGUAUUUGUCCAUUCUGAUGCUGCUAAUAAAGACAUACCUGAGACUGAA
rnacentral:lncRNA from 1 species